GAUGAAGAACGUAGCGAAAUGCGAUAAGUAAUGUGAAUUGCAGAAUUCAGUGAAUCAUCGAAUCUUUGAACGCACAUUGCGCCCCUUGGUAUUCCGAGGGGCAUGCCUGUUCGAGCGUCAUUACACCACUCGAGCUAUGCUUGGUAUUGGGCGUCGUCCUUAGUUGGGCGCGCCUUAAAGACCUCGGCGAGGCCACUCCGGCUUUAGGCGUAGUAGAAUUUAUUCGAACGUCUGUCAAAGGAGAGGAACUCUGCCGACUGAAACCUUUAUUUUUCUAGGUUGACCUCGGAUCAGGUAGGGAUACCCGCUGAACUUAAGCAUAUCAAUAAGCGGAGGA
rnacentral:misc_RNA from 1 species